AAGCUUUUAAUUUUAAUUUGCCCAACUUGUGGACAAAUGCACAGGCUCAGGCGUUCAUCCUGUGGUGAAGAGCAAUAAGGAAAUUGUUGGAACGCUUCAGGAUGAGCUGGUCAGUAGCCUUUGAUAGGAAUGUUUCAGGCUAUCCACUUUGUGCUUUGGCUCUAUUCCUUUAUUGCUUGCGGGAGGUUUGAGUUCACUGGAUAGAAUCUUUCUGUGUGGAUUAAUAGUGUUAUUCUGGUCUCUUAUCUUACAGAUGAAAUCACACCAGUAUAAAAUGAAAAUACCUUGACAUAUGUUAACUUUAAAAUUCCGGGCCUUAUUUUCCUUGAAACUGGAUUUUCGGAUAUGGUGUUAGAAGAUGUUACAGAAUUGUUCUGUGUUGAACUUUCCAGUAGUUUGUUUGAUUUUACAUUUCCUGAAGGCCUAGGCAAAGAUUUAAAAAGCUAGCAGACUGAAAGAUGGGUACUGAGCAGAAAAGUACAGUGGAUCUUUACGCAGGUGGCCAGUUGAUCAAGCUUAUGCUGCAGUGUGGCUGAUUUAUUGUGAGAAUACACCUGAGGGCAGAAGAAUUACAAAGCUGGACCAGAUUUUGAAAAAUGGAAAUAACAGGGGUAUGCAAGGGAAUUGCUGAUGUUGCUGCCCACUCUGGAGGCUGGUUCGAACAGUGGCUUGUAACUCCUGCGUGUUUGCCUGAGUAAGAAUGUAGGGUAGGUUCCAUCUGUGUUUCAUCCGUUAUCUUCUGUGUAAAUGUGUUUGCAUCAGUUUGGAUGCCUACAAGCUCAUCGAGUCAUUUGGUGAUUGAGAUGCCAUGUGAUGCCCAGAGAGCUGUAUCUUUACGUGCUCUGCAAAAAAAUCUGGAGGUCUGUUGGAUGAUACCAAAUUAGAAGCAUGAUGAUUUUCAGUUUAUCAUGUGCUGAUAAGGAGGAAUUAAAUGUGGAAUGGCUGGGAAACAACGGACAAGUUAUGAGCGAUCCAGACUGAGUGGCCCCACUGUAAUCAGGCUGUAGCUGUUGUGAAGAACACCUGCAAGGCCAAGGGGCUGAGAAACUGCGUGAGUUGCAAAAAGAUAAGAAAGCCGGACUGUGGAAAACAAGAUGUUUGCCUAACAGAA